rnacentral:rRNA from 1 species
GACGAACGCUGGCGGCGUGCUUAACACAUGCAAGUCGAACGGAAAGGCCCUGCUUGCAGGGUACUCGAGUGGCGAACGGGUGAGUAACACGUGGGUGAUCUGCCCUGCACUUCGGGAUAAGCCUGGGAAACUGGGUCUAAUACCGGAUAGGAGCCAUUUUUAGUGUGAUGGUUGGAAAGUUUUUUCGGUGUAGGAUGAGCUCGCGGCCUAUCAGCUUGUUGGUGGGGUAAUGGCCUACCAAGGCGGCGACGGGUAGCCGGCCUGAGAGGGUGGACGGCCAUCUUGGGACUGGGAUACGGCCCAGACUCCUACGGGAGGCAGCAGUGGGGAAUAUUGCACAAUGGGCGCAAGCCUGAUGCAGCGACGCCGCGUGGGGGAUGACGGCCUUCGGGUUGUAAACUCCUUUCGCUAGGGACGAAGCUUUUUGUGACGGUACCUAGAUAAGAAGCACCGGCUAACUACGUG